GGUAGGCCAACAGUAAAAAUCUGCAUACAUUGCGGAGAUGGUCAACCAGAUUUGAACACAAUCAGAUCACAAUGAGACUUUUAUGAGUAUACACCCGUGUUUUCAAUGCGAUAUUUGUAUUCUGAUGGCAGAAAUCGCAAAAAAAAUCAAGAUUAGACGCGACCUGGGCAGCGACAAUCAAGCGAACAAGUUUUUCGCACUUGAUCGUUUGAGAUCCACACAUCCAUAAUUAGUUGUUAAACAACAGUCCUGAUCCGGGAAUCGGAUUGGCUAUUUGCACUUCAGGGAAACACUGUCACUACUGCUAAGGCAUGCAUCCUAGUUCAUCUACUAUCCAGCUUGUUCUCACCUCAGUGUCAGCAGUCUUGAACCGGGUGCUAGGAUGCUGUGGCCAUUAUUGGAGACGUUACACUCCAGAAGAGGAUACGUUAUCUUGUCCUGUAAGAGAAACCCAACCAGCACGCCGCUCCAGCUCUGUGAGACCCUGGGUUUGGGAUGUUCAUCAUGACCUGGCCCUGGCAUAUGGGAAUUCCAAUGACCUGCACUGAAGAGAAAAUGUGAAAGGCUCUUCUUUACUUGGUUUUCAUUUUUGUUUAUACCCCAUUCUCAGCCUACUGGUAGGUGAUUGGUCCGUUUCAGCCAGAUCCUGUUGAGCUCUUGCCAAAUAAAACCAUACAUAUAAUUCAUGAAACCAGGGUAUGUACAGUAAGUCGUGUAUAAUAAAUUAUAUUUA